rnacentral:rRNA from 1 species
GACAGAGGGUGCAAACGUUGUUCGGAAUUACUGGGCGUAAAGCGCGUGUAGGCGGUCUCGCAAGUCGGAUGUGAAAGCCCAGGGCUCAACCCUGGAAGUGCACUCGAUACUGCGAGGCUAGAGUCCCGGAGAGGAUGGUGGAACUCUCGGUGUAGAGGUGAAAUUCGUAGAUAUCGAGAAGAACACCGGUGGCGAAGGCGGCCAUCUGGACGGUGACUGACGCUGAGACGCGAAAGCGUGG